GAUGGCUCCUCUACACUAGAUAGAGGGUGAUGGCUCCUCUACACUAGAUAGAGGGUGAUGCCUGUCAGGAUGGGACCUUGCAUUGAGAGCUGUUUGUCCAGCUGAACGUCUCGCCAUUUGUCAAAGGUAAAUAUUGUCAAGCAGUUUUAGAAUCCUGACGUUAUUAUCGAUCGAUAAAUAUAUCAUGUAUAUCAAUAUAUAUAUCGAUUGCAUCUAUUAGUAGAUCAGAACAAUAACAAAUAGCAUUGUAACACAAUGUUCCAUAGGCUACACUAGAAAACAUUCUUUAUGGGAUUAAUUUACAUGAAAUGUGUAUUGUUGACAUCUUUGAGGUUACUGAUGGUUAUAGUAUUUACAUAUUCAUUAGUGAUGCUGUCCUUCGUAAUGGUUACUGAUGCUACUAGUAUUUACAUAUUCAUUAGUGAUGCUGUCCUUCAUAAUGGUUACUGAUGGUUAUAGUAUUUACAUAUUCAUUAGUGAUGCUAUCCUUCAUAAUGGUUACUGAUGGUUAUAGUAUUUACAUAUUCAUUAGUGAUGCUGUCCUUCAUAAUGGUUACUGAUGGUUAUAGUAUUUACAUAUUCAUUAGUGAUGCUGUCCUUCAUAAUGGUUACUGAUGGUUAUAGUAUUUACAUAUUCAUUAGUGAUGCUGUCCUUCAUAAUGGUUACUGAUGGUUAUAGUAUUUACAUAUUCAUUAGUGAUGCUGUCCUCCAUAAUGGUUACUGAUGGUUAUAGUAUUUACAUAUUCAUUAGUGAUGCUGUCCUUCAUAAUGGUUACUGAUGCUACUAGUAUUUACAUAUUCAUUAGUGAUGCUGUCCUUCAUAAUGGUUACUGAUGGUUAUAGUAUUUACAUAUUCAUUAGUGAUGCUGUCUUUCAUAAUGGUUACUGAUGCUACUAGUAUUUACAUAUUCAUUAGUGAUGCUGUCCUUCAUAAUGGUUACUGAUGCUACUGUUAUUUACAUAUUCAUUAGUGAUUCUGUCCUUCAUAAUGGUUACUGAUGGUUAUAGUAUUUACAUAUUCAUUAGUGAUGCUGUCCUUCAUAAUGGUUACUGAUGUACUGUUAUUUACAUAUUCAUUAGUGAUGCUGUCCUUCAUAAUGGUUACUGAUGCUACUAGUAUUUACAUAUUCAUUAGUGAUGCUGUCCUUCAUAAUGGUUACUGAUGCUACUAGUAUUUACAUAUUCAUUAGUGAUGCUGUCCUUCAUAAUGGUUACUGAUGGUUAUAGUAUUUACAUAUUCAUUAGUGAUGCUGUCCUUCAUAAUGGUUACUGAUGUACUGUUAUUUACAUAUUCAUUAGUGAUGCUGUCCUUCAUAAUGGUUACUGAUGCUACUAGUAUUUACAUAUUCAUUAGUGAUGCUGUCCUUCAUAAUGGUUACUGAUGCUACUAGUAUUUACAUAUUCAUUAGUGAUGCUGUCCUUCAUAAUGGUUACUGAUGCUGCUAUUAUUUACAUAUUCAUUAGUGAUGCUAUCCUUCAUAAUGGUUACUGAUGUACUGUUAUUUACAUAUUCAUUAGUGAUGCUGUCCUUCAUAAUGGUUACUGAUGCUACUAUUAUUUACAUAUUCAUUAGUGAUGCUAUCCUUCAUAAUGCUAUCCUCUACUAACACAGAGGACCAGGGGUCCACCCUACUACACAGAGGACCAGGGGUCCACCCUGCUAACACAGAGGACCAGGGGUCCACCCUACUAACACAGAGGACCAGGGGUCCACCCUGCUAACACAGAGGACCAGGGGUCCACCCUGCUAACACAGAGGACAAGGGGUCCACCCUGCUAACACAGAGGACCAGGGGUCCACCCUGCUAACACAGAGGACCAGGGGUCCACCCUGCUAACACAGAGGACCAGGGGUCCACCCUACUACACAGAGGACCAGGGGUCCACCCUGCUAACACAGAGGACCAGGGGUCCACCCUGCUAACACAGAGGACCAGGGGUCCACCCUGCUAACACAGAGGACCAGGGGUCCACCCUGCUAACACAGAGGACCAGGGGUCCACCCUGCUAACACAGAGGACCAGGGGUCCACCCUGCUAACACAGAGGACCAGGGGUCCACCCUGCUAACACAGAGGCGUGUGUGAAGGCUACCUGUGUCCUCCAUAACUUCAUGAGGACAGACACGUGGACCAGGAGGGGACCAGCAGCUCGACCGCCACGUGCCAGAGGAAAGGCCUGCUGCUCUGCAGGAUGUUGCCAGGAUGGGGGCCAACAGCGUUGCCCGGGAGACCAUCUGUGCGCGGGACACCUUCCUCUCCUACUCCCUGGCAACACCUCAUAGACUACACUAUGCACAAACAAAGGCUCUUUUAAGAGCCACCCACAUUGUAAUAAAACUGUUUGUUUUUUUACCAUUCUACUUCAGUGCUGUUCAGGUGUUUGUGGGUGUGUUUCUGUGUUCAGGUAAGGGGGAUGUCUGCACAAAACCCAAACAGGCUAUUUUAAGAGUGUCAGGUGUAUUACUGUGAGCUGUACACCUUUCACCUUCAAAGAAAAGGCAAGAGGACCAACCAUGGAGAAUAGUAAGACACUACAUUAUUGUGGAUAUAGUGUGUGUGUGCAUGUUCAGGUUAGGGUGAUGUCUGCACAAAACCAAAACAGACUCUUUUUAAAUACCGGCACAGAAAAGACCCGGUUGGUUUGUAUUUCUGAAAAUCCCUCAUGCUCGUUCCGGUCUAACGUUCUAAACACACUUCCUACCGGGUGGCGAUUUCCGGUCAGUCUAGUUGUUAUCGACGAUAUAACGCUACUACCACGAUGUCACAGUUUUUACUAGGUGUCUUCAGGACUCUAAUUAAUAUCAAUGAUGUACAUCGAAUUGUUUAAUCAGCCUCCGAGAUUCCAGCUAGCGAGAAUGAAAAGGGGUUGAAGAUGUAUACAGGAAGCUACUGUCACUAUGAAGGUGGGUACCAAGACAGAUGUAUACAGGAAGCUACUGUCACUAUGAAGGUGGGUACCAAGACAGAUGUAUACAGGAAGCUACUGUCACUAUGAAGGUGGGUACCAAGACAGAUGUAUACAGGAAGCUACUGUCACUAUGAAGGUGGGUACCAAGACAGAUGUAUACAGGAAGCUACUGUCACUAUGAAGGUGGGUACCAAGACAGAUGUAUACAGGAAGCUACUGUCACUAUGAAGGUGGGUACCAAGACAGAUGUAUACAGGAAGCUACUGUCACUAUGAAGGUGAGUACCAAGACAGAUGUAUAUAGGAAGCUACUGUCACUAUGAAGGUGGGUACCAAGACAGAUGUAUAUAGGAAGCUACAUAGACAACUAUGAAGGUGAGUACCAAGACAGAUGUAUAUAGGAAGAUACAUAGACAACUAUGAAGGUGAGUACCAAGACAGAUGUAUACAGGAAGCUACAUAGACAACUAUGAAGGUGGGUACCAAGACAGAUGUAUACAGGAAGCUACAUAGACAACUAUGAAGGUGGGUACCAAGACAGAUGUAUACAGGAAGCUACAUAGACAACUAUGAAGGUGGGUACCAAGACAGAUGUAUACAGGAAGAUACAUAGACAACUAUGAAGGAGAGUACCAAGACAGAUGUAUACAGGAAGCUACUGUCACUAUGAAGGUGGGUACCAAGACAGAUGUAUACAGGAAGCUACAUAGACAACUAUGAAGGUGAGUACCAAGACAGAUGUAUACAGGAAGCUACUGUCACUAUGAAGGUGGGUACCAAGACAGAUGUAUACAGGAAGAUACAUAGACAACUAUGAAGGUGAGUACCAAGACAGAUGUAUACAGGAAGAUACAUAGACAACUAUGAAGGUGGGUACCAAGACAGAUGUAUACAGGAAGCUACAUAGACAACUAUGAAGGUGAGUACCAAGACAGAUGUAUACAGGAAGAUACAUAGACAACUAUGAAGGUGAGUACCAAGACAGAUGUAUACAGGAAGCUACUGUCACUAUGAAGGUGGGUACCAAGACAGAUGUAUACAGGAAGCUACAUAGACAACUAUGAAGGUGAGUACCAAGACAGAUGUAUACAGGAAGAUACAUAGACAACUAUGAAGGUGAGUACCAAGACAGAUGUAUACAGGAAGAUACAUAGACAACUAUGAAGGUGGGUACCAAGACAGAUGUAUACAGGAAGCUACAUAGACAACUAUGAAGGUGGGUACCAAGACAGAUGUAUACAGGAAGCUACAUAGACAACUAUGAAGGUGAGUACCAAGACAGAUGUAUAUAGGAAGAUACAUAGA